CAGAUGACAAUAUGUCUUGAAUACUUUGGGACAGAAUGAUGGAGAAGAUGAAAAAGCCAUUUUAGAAAUGCAUUUCUCAUUCCAAAUGUUUCACUUUGCCUUUCAAGGGUGUUUCAAGAACGUUUCUUUCAGUAAUGGCAAUAUGUAAUCCACAUAAGAGGUACUAGACAAAAUGCAUCCUUCCUGCCCUGCAAACAAUGACUACAGGUUUAAACUGGUUUUGGAAAUGUCCAGCUUUCUUAAACUGUGCAAACUAGGGCCUCUAGAAUAUGAAACUCCUCCUUGAGCGAAGACAGCAAGAUGCUGCUCACAACAGAGAACAGUUUACCAGUCCCUUGUGUUCUCCAGUGCAGACCAUGGUCUUCUUGCUGUAAGCAGUGAGAGUACAUGGUCCCCUCUGUGCACGCAGCCUGGGAGCCCAAUGUCUGCCUGCAGCACCCCAUGCACCACCUGUCCUCCACAGUCAGCCUGCAAGGCAAGCCAAAGGCAGAAGCUAUGGGUCUUUUCCUCAUUCAUUGAAGAUACACAGAGCAGCAGCCAAAAUGACGCACAAAAAUGACAGUUUACCAGCUGAAAGUACAGCAGGAGGUCAAUCAUUAGUGGAUUUACUAGUUUCAGAUCUCCAUCCUAUCUACCCAAAUAGCAACCUGUUUUAUUUUUUUUUUAGUUUUACUGUUUUAUCUAAAGAUAACAUACUAUGCUAUAACAAUGACUUGUGUAAUGAUGUGUGCAAACUUACAAAGAUGGAAGGACUUUGGAUUAGUGAAAAUCUCGUAUUUUUCAAAUAUAAUAUUUGCCUGAGUCACACUAAAACCAAUAUCUCAAGUUUCUCACAAGCUCAAGAGUACAAAUAAAUGUCUUUGGAAAACACGUUUUCUGUCCUCCCUUUAAAAGCAUCUUCUCUGAGUUUGCGGAUGCUGAAUAAAAUUGGUACUUGCAGUGCCAUCA